GAUUUCUGGCGAACUGUAGCGGCCCGUGCUCGUAUCGGGCGUGUGUGCCGUGACAUGUUUGUCAUCCUUCCAGAGAGCUGCGUCUACCAUUCAUUUGGCCGGACGUACGCGAUCUGGAUCAAUUACUUUGAAAAAAUUAGAGUGUUUAAAGCAGGCUUUUUGCUAUGAAUACAUUAGCAUGGAAUAAUAAUUUAGGACUUUGGCCCUAUUUUGUUGGUUUCUAGGACUGAAGUAAUGAUUGAUAGGGAUAGUUGGGGGUGCUCGAAUUCAGCGGCCAGAGGUGAAAUUCUUGGAUUCGCUGAAGACGAACUCAUGCGAAAGCAUU
rnacentral:rRNA from 1 species